GUUUCUUUGUGGUUUGUUGCUAGUGAGGCUCUAUCUUUUGAGAAACUAUCUAGAUGGCAGAGUCUCUGCCUGGUGGGAAAAGGUUUUCAGUGCUUGUCUAUUGAUCUCAUGGUUUUGUUGCACUGGGAGAAGGAAACAGUGUGCAUGUUUAUAUGCUUAGAAGCAAAGAGAGGUUUCCUUUUCCCUGCUUUCUUAAAGGACAGCUGUAAGCAGCACUUUGAGUUAAACUUGGAGAAAAUGUUAUGGAAUAAAUCCCUCCAGUGACCACCAGCCAAUGGAAAACAAAGGAUAAUUUUCAAGGCAGUGGAGGGAAGCUGAGACAUGCAUCUGCUGGAUGUAACACAUGGAUAUGGACACUGCUCCAUCUGGCAGUAUUGCACUCUCCUCUCCUUGUAAAAUCUGGUCAAUGGAGAGUUUCUAAAGAGGUGAGAUGUAAAGGAAAAAUUGUUGCCACAAAGUCAUUUUCCAGCCUGUUCAGAAAAUAUAAAGCAAAACAUAGUGAUUCGUUGCAAGACAAGGAGAGAUGGCAUCUACCUUUCAUCAUCACCUACAGCAAAUCUAAUUCAGUCCAUGAUAUUUCAAAAGAAUUUCUCACUGAAGUAUUUGAAAUACAUUACAUAACUAGGAGUGAGGAAGGGCCAUGAGUACUAACAGUACAAUGAGGUCAACAUCUUUCACUUCCUUUUAAUAAAAUACUAUAUUUUGCUUGUUAUGUGGAGUUU
rnacentral:lncRNA from 1 species